CCUACGGGAGGCAGCAGUCGAGAAUCUUCGGCAAUGGGCGCAAGCCUGACCGAGCGACGCCGCGUGGAGGACGAAGGCCUUCGGGUUGUAAACUCCUGUCGAGGGGGAAGAAGGGCCUUAAAACCUUGACUGAUCCCUGGAGGAAGCACGGGCUAAGUUCGUGCCAGCAGCCGCGGUAAU
rnacentral:rRNA from 1 species